GCUGGAUGCUAGAACUUGUGGCUGAGGUGGGAGAGGCUGGCCUCAGUAGAGUGUGGGCCAUCUGAAGUCAGGAAAUGCUUUGUUUGUGCUAAAUUUCACACACUCAUUUAUAGAUGAAUUCAACCAAGGGAUAUUUACUGCUUUGUGGUUCUUAUAAUAUUUACUUUGCGUUAGUACAAUGCUCUAUAUUUGUAAAUUCAACAGAAAAUAAUUGAGUUUUGGAAAGCCAUGAUAAUUUCUGUAUUACAUCAUUUAUACAUUAUUAAGAGUUGAGCAUUAGUAUAAAUUUUAAAAAUUAUAGGCUGGCCACGUGGCCUAGUAGCUAAGUUCGGCGCACUCCACUUCAGCGGCCCACAUUCCGUUGCCCGGCACAGGCCUACAGCACUUGCUGGUGGCCAUGCUGUGUUGGUGACCCACACACAAAAUGGAGGAAGAUUAGCAUAGAUGUUAGCUCAGGGUAGAUCUUCCUCAAGCAAAAAGAGGAGGAUUGGCAACAGGUGUUAGCUCAGGGUGACUCUUCCUCAGCAAAAUAAAUAAUUACCUGUUUGUUACUUUAUUUUAACCUUAUAAAACUAUGGUGUUUUCCUGAUUUUAGAAGUAAUAUCUUCCUUAUAAAAAACAAUUCAUGAUUGAAAGUAUAAAGAGGAAAAACAACAGCAAGCAGGUCAAAUUCUACUGGCCAAAAUAAUCAUUUUUAAUAUUUUGGUAUGUUUUCUGCUAGAUCAUUUUCUAUAUAUUGAUAUAUAUUUUACACAGUUGAAACAAUACUAUAUGUUUAAUUUCCUAUCACGCUUUUUUACUUAAUAUAAGCAUUUCUCUAGCAUCAUUAAAAACUCUUCAUGAACAUUUUAAUGACUAUAUAAUAUCCCAUUGUAUAGAUUUACUGUAAUUUUUUAAGUCAUUCUUUUAUUAUUUAUCCUUAGUCUGCUUCCAAAUUUCUGAUAUGUGGAAUAAUAGCAUUUAGCAUUUAUUGAGCACUCUCUGUGCCAGGCACUAUUCUAAACUCUGCUAUGUAUUCUCAUUUAAUCUUCACACCAACCUUGUAAGGCAGGUACUUUUGUGUGUGUGUGUGUGUUUUUUAAGUCACCGAUUUAUUGAUGAGGAAACUGAGCCCAGAAAAUUAAUAGUUUGCUGAAGGUCACAUAGCUGGUACAUGGUAGAACUGUGUUAACUUCUAAGUCAUACCACAUAAAUUCAAAUCAGCAUUUUGAUUCCUUAGAAUAUAUAUUUUUAGAAGUGUAUAGAAGAGCAUAAAGAUAUUUUUAGUUUAUGUGUACAUAUGUAUGUAUGUAUGUAUGUAGACGCUCACAUGGUCUCACAUAUGUAUCUUGAGUGUAACUGCUUUUAAGCUCGCUUAUCCGUUUAGUCGUGUUUAUACCCCCACACUUGAGUGUAUGGGUGCCCUUUUACUUCACUCCAUCUUUCUGAAUUAUCAUUUGGUUAAAACUUUGCUAAUUUAAUAGUAAGUAACGUCUAAUGUGAUUGGAAAGUUUCUUCAUGUCAUGUGUUUUUCAUUUCAGUGAAUUGUCUGUUCAUGUUUUUUGCCCAUUAAGUUCUUGGGGUCCCAGUAUUUUCUAAACCUUUUACACAGUCUUUCAAUUGUAGCUAUUCUUGUAUUUUUCAUUUGCCAACUAAAACUGACUUUUAAAAA
ensembl:lncRNA